UGUGACAUUGAGUACAAAGAGCAUCUGACUUCCUCAAUAUAGUUCCUUGGUGUUCUGGUGGGAGACUUCAUCAUAAGUCAGCUGUCCGACAGGUUUGGAAGAAGCCCAAUACUCUUUUCCAUGAUGAUGUUACAUCUUCGCCCAGGUAUUCUCCAAAACUGGAAGGCAUUCAGCGCCAGCUCCGUCUUUGUGGGCUUUGGUGGAUUCUCCAACUAUUUGGUAGCUUAUGUGUUAGGUGGCUCUUGGUGCCCAUGGCAGAGUCUGGACGGAUGCACAUCCCCAUCUGGUGAACAGCCUCAAUUCGUCGGCA